rnacentral:rRNA from 1 species
GACGAACGCGGCGGCGUGCCUAAUACAUGCAAGUAGAACGCACAGUUUAUACCGUAGCUUGCUACACCAUAGACUGUGAGUUGCGAACGGGUGAGUAACGCGUAGGUAACCUGCCUGGUAGCGGGGGAUAACUAUUGGAAACGAUAGCUAAUACCGCAUAAUAUUAAUUAUUGCAUGAUAAUUAAUUGAAAGGUGCAAUUGCACCACUACCAGAUGGACCUGCGUUGUAUUAGCUAGUAGGUGAGGUAACGGCUCACCUAGGCGACGAUACAUAGCCGACCUGAGAGGGUGAUCGGCCACACUGGGACUGAGACACGGCCCAGACUCCUACGGGAGGCAGCAGUAGGGAAUCUUCGGCAAUGGACGAAAGUCUGACCGAGCAACGCCGCGUGAGUGAAGAAGGUUUUCGGAUCGUAAAGCUCUGUUGUAAGAGAAGAACGGGUGUGAGAGUGGAAAGUUCACACUGUGACGGAUUUUACC